rnacentral:rRNA from 1 species
ACUCAAAUGAAUAGACGGGGCCCCGCACAAGCGGUGGAGCAUGUUGUUUAAUACGUCACUAACCGUAGAACCUUACCAGGGUUUGACAUCCGUCGACCGCCCGUGAAAGCGGGCUUUCCCCGCAAGGGGACGGCGAGACAGGUGUUGCAUGGCUGUCGUCAGCUCGUGUCGUGAGAUGUUGGGUUAAGUCCCGCAACGAGCGCAACCCUCACGCGAUGUUGCCAGCGGAUAAUGCCGGGAACUCUUCGCGAACUGCCUGGGUAACCGGGAGGAAGGUGGGGAUGACGUCAAGUCAGCAUGGCCCUUACAUCCUGGGCUACAAACAUGCUACAAUGGACGGUAUACAAAGGGACCCGAUGCCGCGAGGUGGAGGAAAUCUCAAAAAUCCGUUCUCAGUUCGGAUCGCAGGCUGCAACUCGCCUGCGUGAAGUCGGAAUCGCUAGUAACCGCAGAUCAGCGAAGCUGCGGUGAAUACGUUCCCGGGGCUUGCACACACCGCCCGU